UUGAAAUUGUAGGAAUGCUAAUGUGUUUUAUGUAUUCUGUUGACAGAUUUUGAUCAAGGAUAGCCACGGAUAAAUCAAACAGUGGUGCUAAAAAUUCUUAAACUUUGAGUAGCACCACCCUUUGAAAAUUUGUGGUCGUCUUUAAAUAUGCAUAUAUAUCUAUCAUGUCAAUUAAAUUUGCCACUGGAGAUUAGGCCAAAAUUUAAAAUAUGUUUAUUUCCCCCUCCCCC
rnacentral:lncRNA from 1 species